CUGCGGGACCCCGGGCUAGCCUCGGCGGCUGAUGGAGGCCCCGGCCGCCCCGCCUCUCGCCGCCCCGCCAGUCCCGAGAUGUCUUGUGUCCGCCUGGAGCCUGGGGCCGGGAGGGCCGUUGCCAGAACUGGAGGCACAGAACAGCAGAUCGCGGUGGACCUCCCUCCCCCAGCAGCCACCCUUUCUGACACGUGCCGGGCCCCGACGGUUACCGUUACCUGCCGUGCGUUCCUUACCCGCUUUUCACGCUAAAGGGAUCACUGCCCCCAUCCGCAGCACCAAGCAACUGGUUUUGCACCGGCACGGGCAGAAGAAAACCUAAUCACUAAAAUAUUGUGCCACAUCCUUCUGACCUCUCCAUGAUGUCUGAUGGUGAAUUCUGUAAUUCUGAUUGCUUCCUCACUACAGGUUACUGCCUCCUUCCUUCAUCGCCUUCAUUCUACUGUUGAGCCAUCCACUAAGCCUUUUAUUUUAUUGUGUUUUUCAAUUCUAAAAUUUCCAUUUAGUUUUUGAUAACUUCUUUUACUCCACUGAGAUUUUCUUUUCUUUUCUUUCUUUUUUUUCCUAAGGCUUUCUGUUUUUUCAUACGUUUCAAGCAUGCUUAUAAUUGCAUUGUAGCAUUUUUAUGAUGGCUACUUUAAAAACAUUGUCAGAUAAUUCUAGCAUUUCUGUAAUCUCAGUGUUGGCAUCUAUUGAUUGUUUUUAUUCAAGUUAAGAUUUUUCUGGUCCUUGUUUGACAUAUGAUUUUCUCUUGAAACCUGGACAUUUAAAAAAAAAUUGUUUUUGUAGACCCUGGAUCUCAUUUAAACCUUUCUUUUUUAAAAAAAUUUUUUUUAAAUUUAUGCAUGAGAGACAGAGAGAGGCAGAGACACAGGCAG